UGCAGUCGAGCGGAUGAAGGGAGCUUGCUCCUGGAUUCAGCGGCGGACGGGUGAGUAAUGCUUAGGAAUCUGCCUAUUAGUGGGGGACAACAUUUCGAAAGGGAUGCUAAUACCGCAUACGCCCUACGGGGGAAAGCAGGGGAUCUUCGGACCUUGCGCUAAUAGAUGAGCCUAAGUCAGAUUAGCUAGUUGGUGGGGUAAAGGCCUACCAAGGCGACGAUCUGUAGCGGGUCUGAGAGGAUGAUCCGCCACACUGGGACUGAGACACGGCCCAGACUCCUACGGGAGGCAGCAGUGGGGAAUAUUGGACAAUGGGGGGAACCCUGAUCCAGCCAUGCCGCGUGUGUGAAGAAGGCCUUUUGGUUGUAAAGCACUUUAAGCGAGGAGGAGGCUCUUCUAGUUAAUACCUAGGAUGAGUGGACGUUACUCGCAGAAUAAGCACCGGCUAACUCUGUGCCAGCAGCCGCGGUAAUACAGAGGGUGCGAGCGUUAAUCGGAUUUACUGGGCGUAAAGCGUACGUAGGCGGCUUUUUAAGUCGGAUGUGAAAUCCCUGAGCUUAACUUAGGAAUUGCAUUCGAUACUGGGAAGCUAGAGUAUGGGAGAGGAUGGUAGAAUUCCAGGUGUAGCGGUGAAAUGCGUAGAGAUCUGGAGGAAUACCGAUGGCGAAGGCAGCCAUCUGGCCUAAUACUGACGCUGAGGUACGAAAGCAUGGGGAGCAAACAGGAUUAGAUACCCUGGUAGUCCAUGCCGUAAACGAUGUCUACUAGCCGUUGGGGCCUUUGAGGCUUUAGUGGCGCAGCUAACGCGAUAAGUAGACCGCCUGGGGAGUACGGUCGCAAGACUAAAACUCAAUGAAUUGACGGGGGCCCGCACAAGCGGUGGAGCAUGUGGUUUAAUUCGAUGCAACGCGAGAACCUUACCUGGUCUUG
rnacentral:rRNA from 1 species